GUCAACUGUAUUUUGAAGUUGCAGCAUGAGUUGUUGCUGCGAAAUGUCCAUUUGCCAUGUUCUUAUUUAAUUUCUCUUUCUACAAGAAGGGUGGUGUAAACCAAAAUAAUCUUAUUAUUAUUGUGGCAAAAGCAUGCAACUUUCCCUCGCCACUCCUCCCCCUCACCAUAUUCCUCUCUCCCAUUCCCCUCACCAAGUUCCUUAUAAUUCUUUUACAUGGAACUGACCAAGUUUUCAUUACACCAUCUGCGAGAUCAGCCUGGUUGAAUGAAAAACACUGUCCACUUUAGUCAGCGAGAACGUAACUGGACAGACAUGCCGGAACCCGAUGAAGAAGAAAAAAAAAAGGUUUCCUUUGAUGAAGCAAAAGCCUACCUGUGCGAGUGAACCUUGGUGCAGUUUUCAAGGAGUUUGGAUACAUGUACAUAACCAAGGGUGUUUGUAAAAGCUGACCUCUACAAUAAGGAACUUCAUGGGGAGGAUCCAACUUGUAUCACAGGCGAUUGCCUGUAUGUCGGGAGUAUAUAGUAUGUGUAAUUAGAAUCAUGUCAUUUAUGCGGUAAAUGACAAAUAAUAAAUGUAGUAGAUCAAUAGGGAUUAAACCUGGCCCCCCUCAAUUAAAUAACUUGCUCAACCAGUUGCACUAUCAGGAUGGUAAAUGUAUAAUGCCCCAAGAGCGAACGCCUUAUGAUGCACAGCACAUUGUGCAAACCACAUGCUGAACGCUGGUAACUGUCGCACCAUAUCCAGUGGUGGUGAUGACGGGGUGCAGUGGCAAGAAUGAGAUUCUGAAAGUUUGUUGAAGGCAAGCUGAAUCUGUGUCUGCAGUGACCUCAACAAGCUGACAAAGACCACGAUUGAACUCUUUCAUGGUGAGAACAUAAUUUGGAGAUCUGUAGUGCCAAGACUGUUGCCAAGAUGACAAGCCAAUACUGUCUGCAGUUCUGCUGCAAUUGACAAAAUAAAAUAUUGAUAUCACAUUAAUCAAGUUUGAUGUUACCAUUUGUGACUUUCAUGCAAGCAUGUAAUUGGAAACGGUCUUUAGAUGUCUGUUGAAUGUAAUGAAAGCAGUGGCCAGAGAGAGUGCUUGCAUAUUUGUACAGUAAAGGUAGGUGGGGUGGACAAACAUGGCAAAGGCAAAGCAAAAGAAGUUGGAACUGAAUUGAAUGCUACUCAAGGCAUUGAAGGGAGCAGUGCAGCAAGGCCCAGUUUCAAAAGGCUGUUGUGAUGCCCAUUCUAUGGUAUAGUGGCAAGAAUCAAUUUUUUUGUCACAUGGAGAGUACCUAGCACUUCGAGCUGUGAAGUUUUCUCACUUCUUACACGUGUCCACACAUUCCUUUUCCAGCUCCUGUGGAAUCUUGCACCCAUAUAAUUUCUAAGAAUGCUACCCUGAGCGUAGUCCAGUGCCAUCAUUUGUACAAGUUUAUUGUUGUGACACAACAGGAAUGCUGGCAAGCGUAAUGUUUGACUUGUCUUGAACAUGGCUUGGCCUAAAGCAUAACCAUGGCUGCAUGAUUGAUGCACAAAUAAAGCUGUCUGGGUAUUACACCUUCAUAAAAGAUACGGGUUCUUUAGUAAUACAUCUAGCAUUAAUGCUAUAUGUAUUAACAUAGCAUUAAUGCUUACUUAAGGUGUAAAAAUUAAUACAGGAAUCUACUGAGCGAAACUGAUGAAAAGUGAUUGCAAACCUUGUGUUUUCUUCGAUUUUCUUGACCUGCUGGUACUGUUCACGUUCAACACAGCCAUGCACUAGUGGAAGUGUUUAUGUUCCAUUAUAAAAGGUCCUGCACAAUGGCAGAGGAAGGACAGCACGUUAAAUUGUUUUUAAUAAUUGUUUUUAGUCCACUGUGACAGAGAGAAUAAUACUGGCCACCAGAUAUUUCUACAAGGUGUCCUGGCUCUCUCAGAAGAAUGCCAAUCUGAUUAAACCUUCACAGACUUUCACUGCCUGAAAUUCUCAUGCAUACAACAGCUGGCACCACUUUUGCCUCUAGAAAUGCGAGGGAACUCUAUGCUUGCAACUAAUGGCACAGUGUACUCGCCACAGGUGCCACGAAGCCAGUAGCGACAACUCUGCCAGCAACCAAGGGAAUCACCACCGUUGGAGAAUGACUGGAGGCUUCUGCUCAAAUUCAUAGGCUCUACACAAGUGUGAAGUUUAUACAUGAUGGCCAAGGUGGUAAUAGACAUGCCUAUAAUAGCUGUGCUCUAAACAGGAAUUUUUUUGUGCAAGCAGAUCCUCCUUUGGAGAGUUUCCUGUUCACUGUUCCAAUACAUCCUUUGCCUGCUCUCCACUCAUGCCCAAGCAUGUGCAGCACAUGAGCACUGAACCCAGAGUCAGUAGCUUUGGCAACGUUGCUAAAGUGUUGGUGAUUUAACCAAUGAUGUGCUCCUUAAGCCCCUUGUGCCAACAUCAAGUGAGAUGCUGAAUGCCAUAAGACUUCCAGAGGCAAUUUACUGGCAAACUGAUACUGCUCCAAACAAAAGCUUGUGGGCGUUAUUUUGUGAUGUGGUGGAAAUUAUGUGCGAAAAUAAAUUAGUGGCAAACAGAA